UACGUAGGGUGCGAGCGUUGUCCGGAAUUAUUGGGCGUAAAGAGCUCGUAGGCGGCGUGUCACGUCGGUUGUGAAAGCCCACGGCUUAACCGUGGGUCUGCAGUCGAUACGGGCAGGCUAGAGUGUGGUAGGGGAGAUCGGAAUUCCUGGUGUAGCGGUGAAAUGCGCAGAUAUCAGGAGGAACACCGGUGGCGAAGGCGGAUCUCUGGGCCAUUACUGACGCUGAGGAGCGAAAGCGUGGGGAGCGAACAGG
rnacentral:misc_RNA from 1 species